ensembl:lncRNA
ACCCAGAUGGGUAACUCUAACAGGAAUGGCAGUGCUUUAGGAUUUGAUGUUCACGAAGAAAGUGGAAUUCCUGAGCAAUGCAGAGGAAGGUAAUGGGGAUAAUAAGGCAAAGCAAGGAGAGCAGCUGGGGAAAGUGAGGGAAAGGCUGAAAGGAAAAGAACAGGCAGCAUGCAGGGCACCUUAUAGUGCAGUAAUGAGCUCUAGGAGCACUAUAUUGUGCCACUCUGUGUAGUGGAUAACCAUCUGUGUGUAUACGUUCCCUUUGCCUGUCUGGGCAACCAGCAGCCGCACAGCAAAGGCGGCUUCCGGGGCACUGCUGGAAAUGCCUCGGAGCGGUUCUCGCACCUCCCGACAGCGCUGCGGCUCUCUGCUGCCACCUGCUGGACGCCGGUCGGUACUGCAGGCACUGCCCCAGCAAGGGUCCCUGGUGUAUUCCAGGCACCGGAGACGUGCAGUGGUUUCUCCUGGGGCUCCUCAGUGUUCUCUAGGCUGCUCUAGAUGCUUCCCAGAGCGUCCUAGAGGCCUCUCAAGAGCCAACCUAUGUGCUCAGAGAAACGCUAGUGUGCUUCCAGAGCUCCUGUAUGUGUUCUCAGGAGGGUUCCAAGUGUGCCCUAGAUGCCUCCAAGAUGCCCCCAGCAUAAUCUGAGGAAUCCUGGAGUACUCCCAGAGCUCCUCAGUGUUCACUAGGAUGCUGUAGAAGUCUCACAUUGUGCCCUAGAGGCUUUCAAGGACACCCCAGUGGACCCCCUCAGCCCCGGCGCUGAGCCAAUCGGAUGCCGCGAUAGGCGCAGGGGUGGCUGAGAGCCAAACCGGUCCGUUCCCGGCACUGAGCGCUCCCCUGAUCUGAGUAGCGAGCGUAAAUCCAUGCAAGUACCACUUGCUUUGGUGCAUGCGCACUGCUGCCGGAGGACCAGUCACCAUAGAGCGGUGGUUUCUCUGUGCAGAGCAGCUAGAAGUUAGACGUCACUUCCGGCUUCCUGUGCACACGCGUCUUACUGCCUGGAGGCUCAAACACCAUAGAAGUUGGCGGACUCGAGGCGCAGAGCGGCUACAUGCAAAUUACCGAUGCGCUGAGCCAAUCGGCGGCCGCGCGGAGGCAGCGAUGAGUUAAAGCGGGUGCGUGUGUGGUACGGUGAGGAGGACCAAAGACCAUAGAAACUGGCGGACUCGCAGCGCAGAGCGGUGGGAGCAAGGCGAUGGCUUUUCCGCGUUUCAGCGCGCAUGCGUGUCACUGCCUGGAGGACCAAACACCAUAGAAAUUGGCGGGCUUGCGGCGCAGAGCGUUCAGAACAGGGAGGUGCGGUGUUUUAUUGGGGGCGGCAGAGCAGGGAAACGGUGCCCUUUCUCUGGGGAUACUCAGAACCUGCGUGGAUGCAGUCCUGUGCAGCGUGUUCCCACAGGUUAUAGCAGAUCCAUCAAGUGAUUACGCAGCCUCUGCCCAGACAGACCUUUUUUCCCCUGAAGUGACCACGUAUUACAAGUUAAUUACAGGCAGUAUUCUCAUGACUAAUUAUUUACCAUCAAAAGACAGGCUUUUUUGAGACCGAACCCCUACUGUCUCAAAGUUAAUAGGAGAAACCUCUUUAAUUAGUCGUUAUUAUCUACGUGGACCGUAUCUGCAUAUAAUUAGACAUCUCAGCACAUCAGUAUAGGCUGUGGGAACAGCCAGCUGUGUUAUUUUGUUAUUAAAAUCUGCUUCUGAGGGAUGUCUGCAGGGAGUUCCCAUAGGACAGGUCCCUUGUGUGUCUUUCUGCUGAGCCUGAGCUAGCAGGGACAGGGAGUUUAGCAAUUAAAUAUAUUUCCCUAUUGGGUCUUCUUGAUGUGAUCCCAUAUAGGAUAUCAUUGUGAUGGGUUAUAAUGCUAAACAUGAUACGGUCCUUUUCCCUUCUCUUUUGGCACUGUUCAUAAAGCACAACAGCAUCACAGAGCACCACUGCUGAUUCAGUGUGGCCUUGAUGUGCACCGGCCUUUCCUGUGUGGUGUGAAGAAGAAGCCUGCAAUACCUCAGCUUCCAAGAGAUAAGGCCUCACAUCUUGCACACAGCAUCCAAAUAACCUUUUCAAAAGCAUUACUGGUGGGACACACACGCAUUUCAGGGCCUAUGGAGAAGAAGCUUGUCAGUUUAUCCAGUCUUUUUCAAUAGGCUCCCAGCUCAGUCUGACAGCAAGCAAGUAUUCCCAGUCUUACGGCAAUUAGAGAAGAAAAAUAUCCUUUGUGUUAGCGUUUUUCAUUCUGCUGGCCAGAAAGUUUGUUCCAAGUGUUGAAGACAAAAACAAAGCCUUCAUUGAGGCUAAUGGGGAGAGUGCCUCAUUCAUGACAGAAGGCAAAAAGGAAUCGGGAAGAUAAUAUGACAUUUUGCAGGCAUGCGAGUCUCAUUGAAUAGCAGUGUAAGAGCACUUUUCUGAGCACUAUCCAUAGGAACUUCUCUGCAGUCCGUACACAAAUGUCUGUGCCAAUCUGAAGCAGCUAUUCUGUCAGUAAUUACAAAGUAAACACACAGCUGUGACACAUCCAGAUACCACUGGCUGCAUCCAAGUGUCCAUCGUACAGAAGCACUCUUGAGGCACUCUCAGGCACAGAAGUUUUUUAGUUCCUAAAGGUACUUUUCAUAGGAGGUGUGGAAGAAAUGUGAGAAAGAGGUGUCUUAGAUGAGAGGAGACGACUGGACUAUGUGGAUCAAGGGAGAAGAGUUGAGUUGUGUGUUCUAGAAUACAAAAGUGACUUUGUUGUACAGUUUCAUCGGCCUGAUGAUUCUCUGCUGGAAAUCAGUGGAUGACUCAAAGCAAAGACAAAAGGCAGCCAAGUGUCAGACAGCAAAAGACAACACCGUUUUUCUUUCUUCAUGACAGCUGGGAUGAACAUUUGCAAGAUACGGAUCCAAAUGUUUCUGUACGUAAAACUGUUUGUCACCUGGUGAUCAGCUAUGCCUGUUUGUUACCAUGACCAAACAGUGAGUCCUCAUUUUGAUUCAUCAAGAACUUUGCCCUUUGUUGUGAACUAAAGUACUACUAAAACCUGACAGAGCAAGAACUAAGUUGUUCAAAAGGAUACUGAGUCAUGGUGCAGGAAACACUGAUUAUUAUGCCCAACUUGUUUUCACAUACAUGUGUGCAUGUGCAUAAUAGGUAGAUGUAAGCUCAUUGCUUGCCUUGCAAGGAACUGCUGUAUUUUGUAAGACACAUAGCAAGCAACUUCUCUUAUAUAGCAAGCAUAAUAAGUAAACUUCCCUUUGGUUUCAAUUUCUACAUCCAAAAUAUUUACAGGGACUAUUGAAAUCUGUCUAUCAACUCCUAGGCAAGGCCCUAGACAUUUUUCUAGCUGUUGCGUAAGAAACAACAAAUCUCAGUUUAUGUGGUGCAUGAGAGCUGGCACUGAUUUUCCUAGGAAGCACUGCAACUGUUCUGGUUUGGGCUGCGUUAGAGUUAAUUUUUCAUAGUGAGUGGUAUAUGUCCCUUAAAGAUAAUGCCUUUUCACAGUAUCUGUCUUAUUUUUAAAAGCAUUAAUUAAGAGGAAAGGCAGACAGCAGUAAAAGUAUGUCCACAAUUAACAUAGGAAAAUACUAAGCUCAUGUAAAAUGACUGUAGCGUGCUUUCUGUUGCUUUAUGAUGGAAAACAGAUCUGUACUAUCUGCACACAAAAAGGAGGAAAGCAUUAUUUAAAGUCUCUAAUAGCAUAUUAAGCUGGAGGAAAUUUUAAAUGAUUAGCCUAAUUAGUCUACUUCUUAACAAGGAUCAAGUAAGUUACUAAUGUAGAAAUGAGUAAGGCAGAAGGUUUGUACCUUCUAAGAAGCAUGGCUGCCCUUUAAGCUGCCAUCUGAAUCCACAGUCUCUCCUCUUAGAAUAAGGAAGUUAAGAUCUGGCACUGCUUCAGUUCAAUAAAAAACAAAAUAAUUUGGAUCUUGAUCCCCAAUUUAUCCUGUAGCUAUCUGAGAAAUUCUUUCCUUAUUAACAGAGAAAGAAGGAAGUAACUGUAGAAACUGCUUUAAGGCAGCUGCCUAGAAUUUUUCGUGGUAAUGAGCUCUGUUCAUAGACUUUAAAAAGUUUAAUUAAAUACAGAUGAAUGACAUUUCCUACUUUCGUAAAACUAUAGAUCGGCAUUUGUAAGAGCUCAUGAAGGCAUCCAGUCCUUGUCCUAAUUAGCCACGGUAGUUUAAAGCAAAAAAAAGUAGUGCUGGAGGGGGGGGAGGGGAUCUACUGUUGAUUUAUCAAUUAUGGUAUUUUCUAUUAUACCAAAAUGAUGCAGAAAGGCUUUGAAAUCCAUCAUCCCAAUGCCAGUUUCUGCAGUUAUGAAAAAAAUGCCUAUACUGACAACAAAGUCCAUUUCAUGCUCUUGUAUUCCACUUGACCUUCUAUCUUCUCAGUUUAAGGAUUGUGGCCUGAGGCCACCGCCGUGUCAGUCACCCACAUGUUAACUCUGGCAACAAACCAAGUAUUGAAUUCUUGCAGAAACGCCGAAAAGAUCGUUAGAAAAAAAGAAAAGCUUAUGUGUACAUACAUACUAUGAAGAGCAUUUGAGUGAGCAAACCCAGAAGGUGGGUUUGAGGACGGACCGGGCUGCAAGCUUCCAACCUGCGUAGUACAGAAGGACUCUCAGCAACUGGCCCAAGAGGAAACUGAAGAUGACUUGGUCCUGUGCUGUAGUAACAACACUUCACUGCUUUGGAAAAACAAUAAAAAGAAGAAAGAAAAAAGAAAGCAUUGAGAGUUCCAACACCAUAAAAAGAUAAGAAACAGAAUGUAUUUUGAGUGAAAGUGGAAAAGUCUUGUGUUACGCAACACAGUCAUGCAGAAAUCUCCAAAACAGGUGUGUUCAUAACAGCAUGGCACUGAGCAUGGAUUAAUUCAUUACAGCUGAGAUACUCCUAGGUUCUGAUUGGAAUAGUUUGUGGGUACAUCUUCUCACAGAUGUUCCAGCUCAGAUAUGUUACUGCCUCAGGCCUGCACUUGUACCAUUGGUUCUUGUGGUUUGGCUGAACUGGAGCAAGAGGAACAGAAAGACACAAGGGCUGUUUGCAAAGAAAAACAUAUAGAGGGGGAAAGUAGAAGCAGUUAAACAAAUAAAGAGGUAUUGAAGAGAAGGAAAAUCAAUGAGUCAUAAGUGAACAUGGACGAACUUUCAGAGGAAGUGAUGCAUGCAUGUAGAUGGAUAUUGGAUAUUACAUAGAGGGUAUUUCAAUGCUGGCAUUUGAUUUGAAAGAACAACCAGGCAGGUCCACUUUCUCUCCCUACUAAUUUACAUGAAAUUACUAACUCUCCUCUAAUUUGUAUUAGGACAUUUCAAAGCUCUGCGUGAUUUCCAAAGGCAAUUUGUGCCAAUGGGAAGGUAUACACACAGCAUAUGAAUGAGUACAAGGGAACUUGAUCAAAAUUCCAGUCUCAUGUAUUUUUUCUGAACACUUGCUGCACUCCUUUCAGAUCUGGAAAAUUGCAGGCUGACAUAUCUCUGGAUUUUUUAUGUUGUGCUUCUUUUCUCCUAAGAUCUACGCCCUACUGGUUCUGGGAAACUUGUGACCUCUGCAUUUUUAAUUAGAACUUGUAACAUUUUCCAUAGCAACAUAUUUUGAUGUCGCAAAUACAGAACCUGUCAAAUCAAACAAUUUCAAAGUGCAAAGCUACGGCCUUCUGGUCAAUUGAAGUCCAAGUACAUGAAAACACUGAGAUGCAAGGAAGACUGAAAAUUAUUUGUUGGUUAACUCAUAGCUUUGAUCUUCAUAAUUAAUAAAUCAGUACAGAUAUAAAAGAAUUACAUUGCAUGCUGGAGUGGUUUAGAUGAACUCAGUACUAAUUUCAUCGCACGUGAGAGCAGAUAGAAUCCAUCUGUCUGACUGGUGUGCCAGUACUAACAUGGUACAAAGGAGAGGAUCUAUUUCUAGGAAAUAGUCGAGAUGUGGAACAAACUUCACUCACAUGAUGAGCUGUGUGAGCAGGAAGUGAAGAAAACAGAAAUCCUCUGAAACGAGGCCUGAGCUCAGAUUUCAACAGACCCACAAUAUGAGCAGGAAUAAUAAUAAUGGGUUAAGAAAAGCAGUGUAACUUAGCACUUAAAUAUGUAUAUUAAAAAUAAGUCAUUUAUUUAUGAUACAUGCCCUGCAAGUGCCAAAUAAUACUUCUGUCAAGUCUGAAGAACAUAAACUGAGAAUUUUUGUCAUUCAGAUAUACUUAUCUUUCCUUUUCCUGCUUUAAGCUAAGACUAAUGGCCAAGGAAGUCAUAUUUUCCUGCCAUUACUAAGACUGCACAAGGUAAUUUGCCCCUCUGCAAGGACAUCCACGUGUAACUGUUAGUAACACCAGCAGCCACGAGAUAUGGAUAUGAUCAUCAAGUCUUACUAAAACAAAUGCUGAAUACCAUGAACCUUUCAGGAGGAAAAGGCAAGUGUCAAUGUGGAAUGCGGUAAGAACUUUCUUGUUUCUGGUAGCAUUGGGUAUGUGACUGCUAUCCCUCUUCUUAUUCCAUCUAUUUCCACUUUUUACAAAAAAAAAAAAAAAAAAAAAAAAAAAAAAACACUGGAAUAUUAAGUUAAUAUUAAGUUAAACGUGGUAUGUUUCAACCUUGCAUUGCAGAUAAGGAAUUCCUGGAGUUCCUGAAUCCUGCGUGAUUGCAGGCAGCUCAGCUGAGUGUGCAUAAGGGAAAGGGGAACAAAAAUAUAAGAUUUUUCUGUUUCCUACCAAUUAUCUGAUAUUUCCCCUCUACUGUCUUUGGUGUAAAAGAAAACCAAAGUUCAGCCUUCUAGGAAAUGUAUUCUGGUAACCUGAAAGACUUUAUAAAUAGAGUGCACAAAUAGAUGACAGUACUUCCAUGACAUAGAUUUUCUGCUUUAGAAUGAAAUGCUUCAUUUGAAAAAGCUCCUAAAAUUGUUAGAACAGUAAUUUAAAAAAAAAAAAAAAAGUUUAAACUCCACAAUUGAAUACAAAAAACGUUGCUGUGAAGGUUUUGAUUUCCAAGAAAUCCAUUUUAAACGUAUUUACAAAGUUUACAUAGAAGAAUAGAUCUGCUGCUAUCUAUAACAUUCACUUCUGUAGUAGAACAGCUAAUUUGCGACUAUUGGAUGAGAGAUACAGAAAGAGUCACUUUAGUGAAAGAAAAAAAAAACAUAUUAUUUUAAGGACAAAUAGUAAAAAAUGAUUGUUUUGGAGUUUAGAGACACAGAGUUUGAAGGAUUUUGCCCUCCGAUGCAGACUGCUCAUGCUUAUGCUGUAGCAAAGGAGGAGCAUCUUGACUACAAGAGUCUUAGUGGAAGAAAACUGGCAAUGCCUUUAUAAAAAUGUAUUUAAUUUCUGUGUUUGCAGUUUUCCCAGCUUCAUCCCUAGGUCCUGGCCUCAAGGGCCCUAGAGAUGUCACAGUUUUAAACAGUCUUAUAAAUCUAGGAGGGGAAAUGAGCUGUCUCUCAUCUUAAACAGAGAGCCUUGGAGAAUGUCUAUGGGGCUUUACCAAUGGAGCUGCCGAAAACAAAGCUAUGAUUCAGGGGUCUCUGACCUUUCCCAGCCCUCCUCCACCAGUGUCAGCCUGCAGCCUGCUCUUUAAAAGUUUCUGCUCACCCAGGGAGCAAAAUUAGAAAUCUUCUCCAGGGACAAUUUUUCUUCCAUCAAGCCACUCAUCAGCCCACUGAGGCAUGGAAACCAAAAAGGAAAAAGUGAGUUAAAAGAAUGUAUGUCUCUUGGUAAGGAUUUCCCACAGCAGAGUGUAAGUGUCCAGACUACCUCAUCAGCAGAGUCCCAGCCUUUACUAUAGGUCUUGGUAUUCAGUCUGUACUGUAGUGGUAUAGAAAAGUGCCAAGCACUGUGCAGGUGAUGCAUGCAUCAAUACAGCAGAUGUGGAGGUGUGUUUGAACUGCUUAACAUCAGCACUUACCAAAUGUUGAAGACACUCUAGCCCCUACGACAAAUAAAAGCAUUCAUUCAGAUGUGCAUGGCAUUUCAGGAAUGGAAUCAUUAUUAUCUUCUCCGAAAAUGUUUUGUCUUAUGUUUAAUAUAAUAUAAUAUAUAUUGCUUAUUGGAAACAAAUCCUUGUUAGUCUCGUUGUUUGUUUGUUUCCUAAUUGUGGAUCACCACAGAACAGGGUACAGUUCAUAAAUACCUCAAAUAUCUGAAAGGUGAUUGCAGCAGAGCAGGGCUGGUCUCUUCUCACUGGUGGCAGGAUGAGGAGAAAUGGCCUCAGGCUGCACCAGGGGAGGUUUAGGUCGGAUAUCAGGAAGAAUUUCUUUACAGAAAGGGUUGUUAAGCUCUGGAAUGGGCUCCCCAGGGAGGUGUUGAGUCACCAUCCCUGGAUGUGUUUAAAAUCCAUCUGGAUGUGGUGCUCAGGGACAUGAUUUAGUGGAGGGUUGUUAGAGUUUGGGUAGUAUGGUUGGGUCUUGAUUGGACUCAAUGAUCUUUAAGGUCUUUUCCAAGCAAAUUCUAUGAUUUCCGGAGCAAUUCUAUGAUUCUGUCAUUUAAUAUGGAGAAAAUUCAAGUAAACUAAAAAUCAGAUUUAAAAGAUAACCUGGUGCAAUGUACUUUUAUUUAUUAAUUUGUUUAUUUUUAUUCCCCAGGCCUUUUUAAAGUUAACCCUAGAAAACACCCCAUGUUGGCGACUCCUUGUAAUUCAUGUCAAUGUUCUUUCAGCAGCACAGUUGCUGCUUCCACGCCGUGAGCAUCUCCUGUAUUUGCUUUAGAACUGCUUCCUGCUGAUGCGUUAAGCACAGGAAGUGAAAGGGUCUGUUGUCGAUUCCAUAACUACCUCCCCCCAUUCAGCUGAAGGAAGGGAAAUAAGAAAAUUGAAAGGUCAGACUUCUGAAGUCAUCUUCGCCACGUGCUUAACAUUUACAUCAUCAAAUUAAUGGAAUGACUGCAACCACAAGCACAAAAGAUAAAGGACAGAAGCUCUUUUUCCUUCGCAGUACAAAUCCUUCUCACAGAACCUCACACUGAAUCUUUUCCCAGCUGUACAGGAUUUACUUCCCAUUCUCUUCCAAGAUGCCAGAAACUCAGCCUCUAGCUAAAGCCUGCUAAGACAACUCUUUUUUGUUUCUCUUGGUGAAGCAGACGCACCGCAUUCUGAACGCUUGCACUUUCCACCAUGAGAAGUGUUCUGGGAGAGAAAGCCCCAAAAGAUCAAAUGUUAUCAUUUCUCAUUAAGUCAGUUUACACCACUGUUGUCAGUCAGUGUAAGGAACAUUAAUAAGUACAAGCUGUGGUAAAUUCCUGGAGGUCGCCUUGCAGUGAUAAGGAAGCCUUGCAGUGAUCUGGAAGCCUACCUGCCUGCCAUGGAGCCCAAAGGCAGUCAUGCCAUCCCAUCCAUCUCCCUGAAGUCAAACUGGGCCCUGAAGUCUGAAGACUGCAAUAUUUCGUGUAGUUCUGCCUACAUACCAAACAUCCUCAGCAUCAAAAAUCCACUUGGCAGGUCUUUGGGCAGGCACUGAGUUUUCAUAUGUAUCAACCCGUCCAUGUAGAAUGAGAGCCUUUUCACCUGCGUGUAACUUGUUAAUGUGAGCAAAUAAAGCAUCUGGGAAGGGCAGGGAAAGGAAGGGGGAAAAGAAUAAGGUCAGAUCUGUAAAGUAAGUCGAUCUCUAAGGAUUAAGCAGUGCUUCUUUGUAGAGAUCCUCCACCAAAAAAAAAAAAAAACCCAGACAAGAUUCAGUGCUCUCAACAUAAACCACUAUGGAGACCAGCUGAACUCUUGGCAGAUAUCACAGGGUACCCCAAAAAGACAUAAAACAUAUGAUAAGGUGCUAAAUGCAACAUUAUCCAUGUAGCAUCUUUUAUUCAGCAUCUACAGUCAUCUGGGGUAGGCAAACUCAGGCCAGGGCAGCAGUAGUUGAGGUUUAUGUCCAAGGAUCAAGAUUAAAUUUAAAUAAGACACACAUUGCUUGCUUUUUUGUUAGCUGAGGCAAAGAGGACAUCACUCAUUCAGUCUGCAAACACUCCCACUGUGACACACUCAGUGCUAAACUGAGAAACGUUCUUAGGAAUGUCAUAGGUGAGGAAAUGAGCAGCAGCAAAUGGUACCUCCGCUUUGAUACCUGGGUUCAUGGAAACUUAUUUGAAGUGAUGUAAUAGGGCACAACCAUUUACCAGGUGUUGCCUAUUGAGAGGGAAAACUAUACAAAGCCACAUCUGACUUUAAACAGGUUCCUGUAAUGCUAAUUUACUUAGAGAUGGCACCUGGACAGGACAUUGUCUUCAGGAAGCUGUAGUGCACAGCCCAAGAAAUACACACAAACAGCUGUAAUUACUAAUAAGAACACACGUUUACAUUUGUAAGUGUUGGAAAGCCUUCAAUUUAGCAUCUCUAUAAAUGCUGGAAAGCUCUUAGAAUAAAUGACCAGAAUCCCUCCUUCCUUGGGAAGCCAGCAAGGGCCCCACCUGACGGCUCUCCCAACGAAGAGUGUUGGAAGCCAUUUUUUGCAGCUGGGGAAGGAAAAUACAAGCUUAGGGGAAGAAUCUAUCACAACUUCCAGCAUGAGAAGGAAAGCAAGAGACAACUUGUCUGAGUCUGCCUUCUUGCAGCAGGAGGGCUACGAAAGUGUUUUUAAUGUCAGUCAAAACCAUUCUCCACGAUGGAUAAAACACAACAGAAGUGGACCAGGUCCAGUUUUGGGGAGUGAUGCUUUCUGACUGUGAUGGUGCUGUGGUGAAUAUUUCACAUCAGUGUCCGCUUUGUAAAAUUCAAGAUCUGAGUAUCUCUCUAUGCUGUUCGCCUUCUAUAGUGGUUUCCAGCGUAGCUUGCUUUCUUCAACAAUCAACAUCACCUACUAUCUGCAGGCACAAAUUAUCUAUUAUUAUUAUUUCUGCAGUUUAACAACACAAAGCAAAAGCAGAAAUAAAAGGAGAGAACAAAAGCAGCUCGUGAAGUCCACAACAUGCAUAAGAUUUGAUAUACAAUGCAUUAACUUCUCCCCAUUCGGUCCCCACGAGGACAGCGGCUCCAGGGCUGUGUGGUCCUAAAGCUUUAAAGUCAUUGAAAUUCUAAUCUUUAAAAAACACUGAAAGAUGAACUUUGACUGUACAAACCUUCAAAUAAAAAUAGCAUUUUUACUAAUGUGCUCUUCCCAAGUGCCUGCUUCUUCCUAGUAGGUUUCCCAUCCUAAUACUGUAUGUUUUUGCAGCUGGCAAUUGACACUGCCAAUGAGCCUUUAUGUUCAAUGUUAUUUAAUAG